UACGGAGGGUGCGAGCGUUGUCCGGAAUCAUUGGGCGUAAAGAGCUCGUAGGCGGCUUGUCGCGUCGACUGUGAAAUCCCGCGGCUCAACUGCGGGUCUGCAGUCGAUACGGGCAGGCUAGAGUUCGGUAGGGGAGACUGGAAUUCCUGGUGUAGCGGUGAAAUGCGCAGAUAUCAGGAGGAACACCGGUGGCGAAGGCGGGUCUCUGGGCCGAUACUGACGCUGAGGAGCGAAAGCGUGGGGAGCGAACAGG
rnacentral:rRNA from 1 species